GGACUACACGGGUAUCUAAUCCCGUUUGCUCCCCUGGCUUUCGCAUCUCAGUGUCAGUUUCGGACCAGAAAGCCGCCUUCGCCACCGGUGUUCCUCCCAAUAUCUACGCAUUUCACCGCUACACUGGGAAUUCCGCUUUCCUCUUCCGAACUCAAGCUCGGCAGUUUCAAAGGCAAUGACCUGGUUGAGCCGGGCCAUUUCACCUUUGACUUACAAAGCCACCUACAUGCCCUUUACACCCAAUAAAUCCGGACAACGUUUGCCACCUCUGUAUUACCGCGGCUGCUGGCAC
rnacentral:rRNA from 1 species